AGAGUUUGAUCAUGGCUCAGAUUGAACGCUGGCGGAAUGCUUUACACAUGCAAGUCGAGCGGCAGCGCGGGGCAACCUGGCGGCGAGCGGCGAACGGGGUGAGUAAUGCAUCGGAACAUGUCCAUGUCGUGGGGGGAUAGCCCGGCGAAAGCCGGAUUAAUACCGCAUAAGCCCGAGAGGGGAAAGUGGGGGACCGCAAGGCCUCACGCGAUUGGGUUGGCCGAUGUCCGAUUAGCUAGUUGGCGGGGUAAGAGCCCACCAAGGCGAUGAUCGGUAGCUGGUCUGAGAGGAUGAUCAGCCACACUGGGACUGAGACACGGCCCAGACUCCUACGGGAGGCAGCAGUGGGGAAUUUUGGACAAUGGGGGCAACCCUGAUCCAGCCAUUCCGCGUGAGUGAAGAAGGCCUUCGGGUUGUAAAGCUCUUUUGUCCGGAACGAAACGGUUACAGCGAAUACCUGUGACUACUGACGGUACCGGAAGAAUAAGCACCGGCUAACUACGUGCCAGCAGCCGCGGUAAUACGUAGGGUGCGAGCGUUAAUCGGAAUUACUGGGCGUAAAGCGUGCGCAGGCGGUUUUGUAAGCCAGAUGUGAAAUCCCCGGGCUUAACCUGGGAAUGGCAUUUGGGACUGCAAGGCUGGAGUUUGGCAGAGGAGACUGGAAUUCCUGGUGUAGCAGUGAAAUGCGUAGAUAUCAGGAGGAAUACCGAUGGCGAAGGCAGGUCUCUGGGCUAUAACUGACGCUCAUGCACGAAAGCGUGGGGAGCAAACAGGAUUAGAUACCCUAGUAGUCC
rnacentral:rRNA from 1 species